rnacentral:rRNA from 1 species
GACGAACGCUGGCGGCGUGCUUAACACAUGCAAGUCGAACGAUGAACCCGGAGCUUGCUCCGGUGGAUUAGUGGCGAACGGGUGAGUAACACGUGAGUAACCUGCCCUUGACUCUGGGAUAACUGCGGGAAACUGUAGCUAAUACCGGAUACGACCCUCGGCGGCAUCGCCAGGGGGUGGAAAGAAUUUCGGUCAAGGAUGGACUCGCGGCCUAUCAGCUAGUUGGUGAGGUAAUGGCUCACCAAGGCGACGACGGGUAGCCGGCCUGAGAGGGUGACCGGCCACACUGGAACUGAGACACGGUCCAGACUCCUACGGGAGGCAGCAGUGGGGAAUAUUGCACAAUGGGCGAAAGCCUGAUGCAGCAACGCCGCGUGAGGGAUGAAGGCCUUCGGUUGUAAACCUCUUUAGUCAGGAGAAGCGAAGUGACGGUACCUGCAGAAAAAGACACCGGCUAACUAACGUG